GACGAACCGUGCGAACGUUGUUCGGAAUCACUGGGCUUAAAGGGCGCGUAGGCGGGCCGUCAAGUCAGGGGUGAAAUCCUCCAGCUUAACUGGAGAACGGCUUCUGAUACUGGCGGCCUCGAGGGGGUAGGGGCAUGCGGAACUUCCGGUGGAGCGGUGAAAUGCGUAGAUAUCGAGAGGAACACCUGCGGCGAAGGCGGGUGCUGGGCUGACACGUGACGCUGAUGCGCGAAAGCCAGGGAGCGAA
rnacentral:rRNA from 1 species